NNNNNNUUCCAUGCCCAACGUUUGACCGUUCGUCUUAUUUAAAAAAUUUAAAAGUUAAGUCACACAUAAAGUACUAUUAAUAUUUUAUCAUCUAAUAACAAUAAAAAUACUAAUUAUAAAAAUAUUUCAAAUAAGACAGGUGGUUAAAAUUGAGCACUGAAACUCACAACUGCGCUUAUU
rfam:Oryza meridionalis cultivar OR44 (W2112) chromosome 5, whole genome shotgun sequence.